UACGAAGGACCCGAGCGUUAUCCGGAUUUAUUGGGUUUAAAGGGUGCGUAGGCGGAUUAGUAAGUCAGUGGUGAAAGCCCAUCGCUUAACAGUGGAAUUGCCAUUGAUACUGCUAGUCUUGAGUAUGGUUGAGGUGGGCGGAAUGUGUCAUGUAGCGGUGAAAUGCUUAGAUAUGACCCAGAACACCAAUUGCGAAGGCAGCUCGCUAAGCCAUAACUGACGCUGAUGCACGAAAGCGUGGGGAGCAAACAGG
rnacentral:rRNA from 1 species